UGUUUAUAGAUUCUAAUUAUAAAUAAAACCUGCUCAAUGAUAUUCAAUAGCCGCAGUUAAUACUGUGCUAAGGUAGCAUAAUCAUUUGUUUUUUAAUUAAAAACUAGUAUGAAAGGUACAACGUUUAUUAACUGUUUCUAUUAUAUUAAUCUAAUUUAUUUUAAAUAUUAAAAAAUAUUUAUAAUUAAAAAAGACGACAAGACCCUAUCAAACUUUACUUAAGUUUACGCUGGGGCAGCAUAAUAACAUAAUUUUAUUUUAUAUUUCAUCAAACAGAUCCAUUAUCCUAAUAAAUGAAAAUAUGAACAAGUUACUGUAGGGAUAACAGCGCAAUUAUAUUUUAAAGCUCAUAUUAAAAAUAUAGAUUACGACCUCGAUGUUGAAUAUUAAAAUUAUUAAAAUGUAACUGUUUAAUAAAUAGGUCUGUUCGACCUUUAAUUUAAUACA
rnacentral:rRNA from 1 species